rnacentral:rRNA from 1 species
GCAAGUCGAACGGAAAGGCCCCAGCUUGCUGGGGUACUCGAGUGGCGAACGGGUGAGUAACACGUGGGUGAUCUGCCCUGCACUUCGGGAUAAGACUGGGAAACUGGGUCUAAUACCGGAUCGGACCAUCGUUUAGUGUCGGUGGUGGAAAGUUUUUCGGUGCAGGAUGAGCCCGCGGCCUAUCAGCUUGUUGGUGGGGUAAUGGCCUACCAAGACGACGACGGGUAGCCGGCCUGAGAGGGUGGAC